AAUUUUUGUUUGAAGGUAUUCCUGCCGAAGGCUGUGAGGCAAAUGGUCUUUUGAGUGGCUCUUUGUAUGGGAAUUGCAAUCAAAUCUUCACUUGGAAGUUAAAAGGGAGCCUUAUCUGGCACAGAUGGGGAAAAUGGACUUCCUAACUAGGAGAACACAAGCACAUUCCAGCCCUCUGGGCUUUAGUGUGAACCGAUAAUUAAAAGAAAUAUUCCUAAUAUACUUUGCAGAAGCAAGUUCUGUUUUGGGGUGUUUGUGGUGGGGAGGUAGUGGUUUUCAAAAAUUCACAAGUAGUAAUAGUCCACUGAGCCAGCAUCUAUGGCAGCAGUAAAUCUCUGAGAAACCACACACACGCACACAUUACACAUACAGAGUUUAAUUUCAGAUUGCCCCAAUUUUCUUUUCCCAAUACAAUCUUUACUCUCCUCCUCUGAGUGGAUGAUUUUGCCACUCUAACCAUGAUAACUCUUCUAUGCAUUUCACCCUAACCUUAUAUAGAGAAAAAAAAAUCACUCUUUUAAAAGCUUAUUCAGACUUGAAUUUCUUGGCCAUUUACUUCCUUAUUCUCCAAAUAACCAGGUCCCCUAAUUUACGGAUUCUAUCGGUGCUAAGCAACCUAACUGUGAU
rnacentral:lncRNA from 1 species